rfam:Syntrophomonas wolfei subsp. wolfei str. Goettingen, complete genome.
CCUGGUGACAAUGGCGGAGAGGCCACACCCGUUCCCAUCUCGAACACGGCAGUUAAGCUCUCCAGCGCCGAUGGUACUGCGGUUAAGCCGUGGAAGAGUAGGUCGUUGCCAGGA